CGUUCCUGUGGCGUCAGAGUACAUGCGGUCGAGCGUAUGCAAUUAAGAGCUUGUUCUUAUGAAGUUAGCGGCGGACGGGUGAGUAACACGUGGGUAACCUGCCCAUAAGACUGGGAUAACUCCGGGAAACCGGGGCUAAUACCGGAUAACGUUUUGAACCGCAUGGUUCGAAAUUGAAAGGCGGCUUCGGCUGUCACUUAUGGAUGGACCCGCGUCGCAUUAGCUAGUUGGUGAGGUAACGGCUCACCAAGGCAACGAUGCGUAGCCGACCUGAGAGGGUGAUCGGCCACACUGGGACUGAGACACGGCCCAGACUCCUACGGGAGGCAGCAGUAGGGAAUCUUCCGCAAUGGACGAAAGUCUGACGGAGCAACCCCGCGUGAGUGAUGAAGGCUUUCGGGUCGUAAAACUCUGUUGUUAGGGAAGAACAAGUGCUAGUUGAAUAAGCUGGCACCUUGACGGUACCUAACCAGAAAGCCACGGCUAACUACGUGCCAGCAGCCCGCGGUAAUACGUAGGUGGCAAGCCGUUAUCCGGAAUUAUUGGGCGUAAACCGCCGCGCAGGUGGUUUCUUAAGUCUGAUGUGAAAGCCCACGGCUCAACCGUGGAAGGGUCAUUGGAAACUGGGAGACUUGAGUGCAGAAGAGGAAAGUGGAAUUCCAUGUGUAGCGGUGAAAUGCGUAGAGAUAUGGAGGAACACCAGUGGCGAAGGCGACUUUCUGGUCUGUAACUGACACUGAGGCGCGAAGCGUGGGGAGCAAACAGGAUUAGAUACCCUGUAGUCCACGCGGUAACGAUGAGUGCUAAGUGUAGGAGGGUUCCGCCCUUUAGUGCUGAGUUACGCAUUAGCACUCCGCCUGGG
rnacentral:rRNA from 1 species